GCCGGCAGGGCCGCCAUGGAGGUCCCGCCCCGGCUCUCCCAUGUGCCGCCGCCGCCGCCGCCAUUGUUCCCCGCCGCCGCCGCCGCUCCCGCGCCGCUCGCCUCCCGCAGCCUCUCCCAUUGGCGGCCGCGGGCGCCGCGGCAGCUCGCCCCGCUGCUGCCGUCGCUCGCCGCCAGUUCCGGCCGGCAGGGGGCGCGCCGGGGCCCGCGCCACGUCACCGCGCAGCCGCCGUCGCGAUUGGCGGGCGCGGCGGCUAUAAAGGGAGGGCGCAGGCGGCGGCCGGAUCUCUUCCGCCGCCAUCUUAAGCCCGGCUCCAUACAACGCUCCGCCGCCGCCGCCGCCGCCGCGACCCGCUCCGCGCGCCCGCACCCCGCUCCCGCCGACAGCGCCGCCGCCGCCGCCAUGGAGGACAUGAACGAGUACAGCAACAUCGAGGAGUUCGCAGAGGGCUCCAAGAUCAACGCGAGCAAGAACCAGCAGGAUGACGGUAAAAUGUUUAUUGGAGGCUUGAGCUGGGAUACGAGCAAGAAAGAUCUGACCGAGUAUCUGUCUCGGUUCGGGGAAGUCGUGGACUGCACGAUUAAGACAGAUCCAGUCACGGGCAGAUCUAGAGGAUUCGGAUUUGUGCUGUUCAAAGACGCUGCUAGUGUUGAUAAGGUUUUGGAACUGAAAGAACACAAACUCGAUGGCAAAUUGAUAGAUCCCAAAAGGGCCAAAGCUUUAAAAGGGAAAGAGCCCCCUAAAAAGGUUUUUGUGGGUGGAUUGAGCCCAGAUACUUCUGAAGAACAAAUUAAAGAAUAUUUUGGAGCCUUUGGAGAGAUUGAAAACAUUGAACUUCCCAUGGAUACAAAAACAAAUGAAAGAAGAGGAUUUUGCUUUAUCACAUACACAGAUGAAGAGCCAGUGAAGAAAUUGUUAGAAAGCAGAUACCAUCAAAUUGGUUCUGGGAAGUGUGAAAUCAAAGUUGCACAACCCAAAGAAGUAUAUAGGCAGCAACAGCAGCAACAGAAAGGGGGAAGAGGCGCUGCAGCCAGUGGACGAGGUGGGACUAGGGGUAGAGGCCGAGGUCAGGGCCAAAACUGGAACCAAGGAUUUAAUAACUAUUAUGAUCAAGGAUAUGGAAAUUACAAUAGUGCCUAUGGUGGUGAUCAAAACUAUAGUGGCUAUGGCGGAUAUGAUUAUACUGGGUAUAACUAUGGGAACUAUGGAUAUGGACAGGGAUAUGCAGACUACAGUGGCCAACAGAGCACUUACGGCAAGGCAUCUCGAGGGGGUGGCAAUCACCAAAACAAUUACCAGCCAUACUAAAGGAGGACAUUGGAGAAAACAGCGGGAACUUCAUUGCAGGCCGUGUGUCACCCUGACCACGUCUAUCUCUGGGGGUCGCACGUUGCGGGCAGAGCGCAAGGCAUACACCAGAAAACGCUGUCCUGUGGAAGGGAUGCUAACGUAACCCAUCUUGCAGGACGACUUUGAAGAUUGGUCUUCUGUUGAUCUAAGAUGAUUAUUUUGUAAAAGACUUUCUAGUGUACAAGACACAACUGUGUCCAACUGUAUAUAGCUGCCAAUUAGUUUUCUUUGUUUUUACUUUGUCCUUUGCUAUCUGUGUUACGACUCAAUGUGGAUUUGUUUAUAUACAUUUUAUUUGUAUGAUUUCAUGUUAAACCUCAAAUAAAUGCUUCCUUAUGUGAUUGUUUUUCUGCGUCAGGUACUACAUAGCUCUGUAAAAAUGUACUAUUUUAAAUCAGCAAUAAUUAAGGAGGCACAGUUUGUUUUGAAGGGAGUAUUGAUCCCAAGGGAGACAUUGUGGUCCUUUACAAGUAGCCAGCCACUUCGUCACCCUACUCCCCAAUUGGUAGGUGUAUUUUGUGCUUUAAGGCUGCUUCUCCCUGUUAACUGGUGUUUCCAUCACACCUUUGAAUAGCAUUCUUUCCCCGGUGGAUAUCUGAAGACACUGUCAUGAGACUGUCAUAGUAUUGUGAUUAAUGGAAGCUUUCUAGUAGACCAUGUGUCUUCUGGACUGUAUUUUUAAGAAAAGUACCCUUUGAAACACAAAGAUAGUAGCUCCUUUUACUUUGUUCCCGUCUCUGGAAAGCCAUUUUUAGUUGCUAAUUAUUUUGGCUUUAGAGUUAAAUCAGUGGUCUGCUAGAAAAAGCUUCAGCUAAUAUAGCGCCAUGACUAUAAUUCUGAUAAAAAAAUGCAGAUAUCCAGAGGACAAAGUUCUGUCAAACUGUAGGAGCUACAGUUAAGAGCGUUGGAAGUAGUUAAAAUACAAGGCUUUGGCAGAUAGGUAGGUAUGAGAUUAUCCACUGAAGUUAGACUAAAGUUUGAAGUAGAGGCAGAAUAGCUGAUUUAGUUGUAUUCUGUUGGUAUGUCAGCCACCACAACACUGAAAGUAUUUUCCAUUUGGGCAUUCUUAGGAAAAGUUUGUAUUGCAGUUAACUGUUAUGCUGUGUAAGUUAGAAAAAGUCAUGAUAGUAAAUCUCAUUUUUAAUGCAGUUAGUGCACGAGCAGAGUAGUUAAGUAUUCCCAUAUUCAGACAUAGGAAGGAAUAGUGGACAAGGUAUCUUAAGGCUUAGGUGUGUGAAUGUUGAUCCAAGUGUGACUGAGUCAUCAUAGCGGAUCUUCUGGUGCGUUGAAAAACAUCUAGGCUCUAGAAAGACCUGGGUAAAUAAAAGCUUUGAAUUUUGCCUUCAGUGUCGUUACUUGGAUUCAGGGAAGCUUGUUUCCCUGUUAGCUGCUGGGAUUGGCAUGCACGUUCACAUGCAGAGUAGCUCGUCUCAACCAGUGUGGACUUUUCUUUUUUAAUUUGGUGCCUAUAAUUCACGUUGUUCCACUGAUGUUUGUACUUGCUGGGCUGUGAAGUUAAUGCUCUCGGACACCCAGGCCAAGGACCAGUGUUGGCUAUUGCAGGGGGCUGUGUUUACUUUCUGAAUCACACACUAUGGCUUUACGGAAUGGAAAGGGAGUUCAUUUUAAGUUGUUUUGUCAGUAGGUGCAGUGUCUAGGGUAGCGAAUCCUGUAAAUUCAAAUUUAUGAUUAGGUGACAAGUUGACAUGGAGAUUGUCCUUUUCCCUGAUCAAAUAUGAAUAAAGACUUUUUAAA